rnacentral:rRNA from 1 species
AGGACGAACGCUGGCGGCGUGCUUAACACAUGCAAGUCGAGCGAGGCCCUCUCUUCGGAGAGGUGCCCUAGCGGCGAACGGGUGAGUAACACGUGGGCAACCUGCCCCUAGCACUGGGAUAAGCCCGGGAAACCGGGUCUAAUACCGGAUAUGACCUUCAAGGGCAUCCUCGAAGGUGUAAAGGAUUCUGGCUAGGGAUGGGCCCGCGGCCUAUCAGCUUGUUGGUGGGUAACUGCCUACCAAGGCGACGACGGGUA